CGAUAACGAACGAGACCUCAGUUAAUAAAUAGGGGGUACUAACAUCUUGUUAGUAUUUAAGAUUAAACCCUUCUUAUUGAGACUUUUGGUUUACAAGCCAAAGGAAGUUUGAGGCAAUAACAGGUCUGUGAUGCCCUUAGAUGUUCUGGGCCGCACGCGCGCUACACUGAUAAAUUCAAAAAGUAUCUUCUUGUAAUAAAGAAGUCCUUACCUGAAAAGGUUGGGUAAUCUUUUUUUAAAAUUUAUCGUGAUGGGGAUAGAUGAUUGCAAUUAUUCAUCUUGAACGAGGAAUUCCUAGUAAGCGCAAGUCAUCAGCUUGCGUUGAUUACGUCCCUGCCCCUUGUACACACCGCCCGUCGCUACUACCGAUUGAAUGGC
rnacentral:rRNA from 1 species